rnacentral:lncRNA from 1 species
AUGAGAUCUUGUCCCAAAAAUAAGUUAAUAAAUUUUGAAAGAGGUCGGGCUGGGAACGUAGCUCACACUGAAGGCUCUGGAUUCAUUCCCCAGUUCUGGAGAGAGAGAGAGAGAGAGAGAGAGAGAGAGAGAGAGAGAGGACCAAAUGCUUUCACAGAGGCACCUUCUUCCCAAUUCUGGGAUUGCAGGCAUCCUGGCACCGUGCCCAGCUUACACUGCACCGGCUUUCUGCAAAGGGAGAGAGAGGAGAUGAGCCGAGACGUAGAUCCGGCGGGAAGGCCGUGCACCUGUUUGAAGGCGCCUGCUCCAGCUUCUGGAAGAAGCCGUGAGUGUGUGGACUGGGGAGAGACAGAAACAGUCAAAGACAAAGGGAGCUGGCGUGGUGGCGCACGCCUGUAAUCCCAGCACGCGGGAGGCCGAGGCAGGAGGAUCUUUGCGAGUUAGAGACCAGCUUGGGCUACAAAGUGAGCUCAAGGCCAGCCUGAACUGCACAGCGAAACCCUGUCUCAAAAAAAAGAAAGCAAGACAGAGGGAACCAACAUCCAAAGGCAGAGCCGCUGUCCUCCUGACGGGAGCGCUGGGCCUGGAUCCCAGCUUAGGGGACUCUGUGCUCCUGCUGCUCUGUCUCAACCCCUAAGUCUCAGCUUUUUUCCAAACCAGAGAAAGCACCGUGCCGCUCACAAAUGUUAACCCUUAUGCAGUCAAGCAGCACCGGCGGAGGCAGCGGCUGGCGAUGCUCUGCUAGGCGGAGCCUGGCGCGUUUGUACAGCGUCUCUGCUCUGAGCAGCUGCGCUGGCUCUUCAGAUGAGCACUUUUCUCCCUCCCCUUAACAGGCUCUGAAUAGAACUGGAAGAUGACCCCAUUCCUUUCUUAGUGCUACCAUGGCUUCCAUGAAUUCCUGAAAUUCCUCUGCAAUUUAAUUUCUUUGUCUGUAAUAUGUGUGUUAUGUUCACUAUUACGUUUGAAUAAGGAUCAUUCCUAUAGCCAGGUGUGGCGGCGCACGCCUGUAAUCCCAGCACUCAGGAGGCUGAGGCAGAAAGACUUCUUCGAGCUCAAGGCCAGCCUGGGCUACAUAGUGAGACUCAAGAAUCCAAGCUGAGGUCCUGAGUUCGAUCCCCGGUACCGCAGGAAAAAAAAAAAAAAAUCCAAGCUGACAGUUUGGAGAGCGUGGGCUCCGUGGGGCGGGGAUUUCCUGUGUUGUUCUCUGCCGGGUCCCCGGUGUGAAGGACAGUGGCCACACAGCAGACAGUCAGUAUUUGUCGACCAUGUGACCGGUGCUGUCCUGCCCGGUCCCACAAGCGACACUGCGAGGCGUUUUACUCCCUUCUGUACAGAGAAGAAAACAGAGUCUCAGGAAAGCGAGGUGAUUUCCUCAAGGAUCUGAGGUUAGCACAGGCCGCGUGGCUCCGAGUCUAUGGCACACAUAUCACACCGGAAACACACUUGUUCUUUCAGCUCUGAAGACGCUCCAGGGAGCGCACACUUGAGCUGCGUGCGUGCUGCUGCUGGCGCCGCUGCUCGUUCGCCCUGCGGCCCGUUUGCAUCCCUUCCGUUUACGGCUUCUCUCCCUAUGGGCACCGGCUCCCUGAGCUCCGCCUGGCUCUGCCUUGGUGC